rnacentral:rRNA from 1 species
UACGUAGGGGGCAAGCGUUAUCCGGAAUCAUUGGGCGUAAAGCGCGUGUAGGCGGUUCAGUAAGUCCGCUCUGAAAGCCCAGGGCUCAACCCUGGACAGGCGGAGUGAAACUACCAAGCUGGAGUACGGUAGGGGCAGAGGGAAUUUCCGGUGGAGCGGUGAAAUGCGUAGAGAUCGGAAAGAACAUCAACGGCGAAAGCACUCUGCUGGGCCGACACUGACACUGAGAGACGAAAGCUAGGGGAGCGAAUGGGAUUAGAACCUACCGGUAGUCAGUCCAAGACCAU